rnacentral:rRNA from 1 species
AACGAACGCUGGCGGCAGGCUUAACACAUGCAAGUCGAACGGUUGUAGCAAUACAGCAGUGGCAGACGGGUGAGUAACACGUGGGAACCUUCCUAGGGGUACGGAACAACUCAGGGAAACUUGAGCUAAUACCGUAUACGUCCGUGAGGAGAAAGAUUUAUCGCCCUUAGACGGGCCCGCGGCGGAUUAGCUAGUUGGUGGGGUAACGGCAUACCAAGGCGACGAUCCGUAGCUGAUCUUAGAGGAUGAUCAGCCACACUGGGACUGAGACACGGCCCAGACUCCUACGGGAGGCAGCAGUGGGGAAUCUUGGACAAUGGGCGCAAGCCUGAUCCAGCCAUGCCGCGUGAGUGAAGAAGGUCUUCGGAUUGUAAAGCUCUUUUGCCAGGGACGAUAAUGACGGUACCUGGAGAAUAAGCCCCGGCAAACUUCGUGCCAGCCGCCGCGGUAA